UUUGGCCUGAGGUGACCCAACACUGGAGCCUACCUGGCUCUUUGGUGGGGCUAAUGGUGGAUCUGGGAGGGUUCACGCCAAGGAACACUUCCCAGAACUUCUGCUGCCAGUGUCCUUGUCCCCGUGGUGAGCCACUGCCACCCCCCACCUCUGCAGGAGACCCUCCAACACUAGCAGUUGCAGACCUGGAACUAAGUAUCUAAGUUCUGAAAACAGCCAUCAGAAGUAUCCACAGCCUCCUACGGAAGCGCCAUUCUCCUCCUCCACAACACAUUCCACUCGUGCCCAGAAAUGUAGCAGAUGCCCAGAGCUGAUUAAAGAAAAGACUCGGUCGGUCUUUCCCUUCAUGGAGUUUAUGUCCCACCCAUCACCAGGUGCUUACGUGCCUCCUCGUGCAACACACAAGCAAACCACCAGCGAUGGGACUGAGCAAUAUAACGCGUGUGAUUGGAUGAUUUAGUCACGUGUUCCCUACUCUUGGGCAGACACUCACGUGCCUGUCAGGCAUUUUGUUUUGUCCACAGUGUUUCUCCCCUCUUUGCAGAGGGCUUGGGGAAGAGGUGCAAUGAAAAGGAAAUUGGUGGAAAACAAGAAACAAAAAAGGAGAGACGUUUUCUGAGUACAUAUUAGAAAUUUGUUUACUUUCUAUUUAUGUAUUCACUUGUUUGUUUAUGUAUUUAUUACCUUGCCUCAUUCUAGAAAGAUAUUUAAAGCAGCAUAUGAUACAAGCACCACAUCAUUAUGAAAAUAGAAAAUCGGAGGGAAGGAGAGAAAAAGAAACUAAGAUAAGGGAAAGUUCACAGGAAACAUCCUGACCAGGCCCACCUAUGAAUGGCUGCUGGAAGGAAGAAAUGAACACAUCACCUCUGGAACUAGGAAAUGUUUGACUUCACUCUCACCUCUUUGAGUAUAAAAGAAGCCUGAAUUCUAAUUCAGACAAGAUGGUUCUUUGGACAGUAGUCCACUAUCUUCUUGGUCUGCUGGCUUUCCAAAUAAAGUCUCUAUUCUUUGCCUAAAAAACUCGUCUCUCGAUGUAUUGGCCUGUCGCGGUGCGAGCAAUACAAGCUUGGACUCAGUUACACUAACACUGUCUCUCCCAUUUAGGAGGAAGGAAGACCAGCCAAACCCUUUCUAGGAUUUCAGUGUCUGCCUACAUUUGAAAAGAGGAGGGAGUUCAGAUCAGUGAAGUAUGCUCUGUGGGGCUGUGGUCUGGCCCACUGACCGUGACUCCUGUGUCCCGUGGCCUGGUCGCAAGCCCUAAAAUACCAUAGUAAAAAGACAUGUAAGAACUCAGUGAAAACCCAGGAGGAAGGUUGUAUGUGAAUGUGGGUGUGGAGAGUUCCCAUGGUUGAUCAGCCCUGGUGCCUGAGAAGAACUGUGUUGGAAUACGGGGCUUCCUGAUCAUUUCCAGAUGGUGGCAUGCAUGGAAAGUACAGUACUCGUGGCCAGAGGGGCCAGCUGCGGACUUAGACUGCCACAGCCUCACCUGGCUACCCCUAGCACACCAGUACCUCCUCAACCCUCUCACCCCAUCAUGGCAUGGGAAGUCCUGCUAAUGGAAAGACCCCCUGG